UCUCUUAGCAAUCUCCGUUUGAACCCCACUCCCCCUUCCGUUUUCCCUAGCAGACCUAAACUUAGGUCUACUAUUCCUGCUAGCUAUGUCAAGCCUAGCAGUAUACUCAAUUCUGUGGUCGGGGUGGGCUUCCAACUCAAAAUAUGCCCUGAUCGGAGCACUACGGGCUGUAGCCCAAACAAUCUCUUACGAGGUAACCUUAGCAAUCAUCCUGCUAUCUGUAAUCCUCUUAAGCGGAAACUACACCCUUGGCACCCUUGCAGUCACUCAAGAGCCCCUCUACUUAAUCUUCUCCUGCUGACCUCUAGCCAUAAUAUGAUAUGUAUCAACACUCGCCGAAACUAACCGCGCCCCCUUUGACCUAACAGAAGGGGAAUCAGAGCUGGUCUCUGGGUUCAAUGUAGAGUAUGCAGCCGGCCCCUUUGCCCUUUUCUUCCUGGCCGAAUAUGCCAACAUUAUGCUCAUGAAUACACUAACCGCCAUUAUGUUUUUUAACCCAAGCUUCCUAAACCCACCUCAAGAACUAUUCCCCAUCGUACUGGCUACAAAAGUACUGCUCCUGUCAGCAGGGUUCCUAUGAGUCCGUGCUUCCUACCCUCGAUUCCGAUAUGACCAACUAAUACACUUACUAUGAAAAAACUUCCUACCACUCACACUAGCCCUAUGUCUAUGACACACUAGCAUGACAAUCUGCUACGCAGGCCUACCGCCCUACCUAAGGACCCCGGAAAUGUGCCUGAACACUAAGGGUCACUAUGAUAAAGUGAACAUAGAGGUAUACUAGUCCUCUCAUUUCCUUAACCCUUAGAAAAGCAGGAGUCGAACCUACACUAGAGGAAUCAAAAUCCUCCAUACUUCCUUUAUAUUACUUUCUAGUAGGGUCAGCUAAACAAGCUAUCGGGCCCAUACCCCGAAAAUGAUGGUUCAACUCCUUCCCCUGCUAAUGAACCCCCAAGCAAAACUAGUAUUCAUCUUCAGCCUGCUCCUGGGAACAACUAUCACAAUGUCAAGCAACCACUGAAUCAUAGCCUGAACCGGCCUUGAAAUCAACACGCUUGCCAUCCUCCCUCUAAUCUCAAAAUCUCAUCAUCCCCGAGCUAUUGAAGCUGCCACCAAAUAUUUCCUAGUGCAAGCAGCUGCCUCCGCCCUAGUACUAUUCUCCAGCAUAACCAACGCAUGACAUACUGGACAAUGGGACAUCACCCAACUCACACACCCAAUCUCAUGCCUAAUCCUAACUUCAGCGAUUGCAAUAAAACUGGGACUGGUACCAUUCCAUUUCUGAUUCCCAGAAGUACUUCAGGGCUCCCCUCUUACCACUGGACUCCUACUAUCUACUGCGAUAAAACUUCCACCAAUUACAUUACUAUACAUAACCUCACCCUCCCUAAACACCACACUCCUGACCACCAUGGCUAUUCUUUCAACAGCUCUAGGGGGGUGAAUAGGCCUUAACCAAACACAAAUCCGAAAAAUCCUAGCCUUCUCUUCUAUUUCCCACCUAGGCUGAAUAGCAAUCAUUAUUGUCUACAACCCAAAACUCACUCUACUCAACUUCUAUCUAUAUACCCUAAUAACUGCAACAGUAUUUCUCACUUUAAACUCAAUCAAAGUCCUAAAAUUAUCUACCCUAAUAACCGCAUGAACUAAAGUACCCUCACUAAACGCAAUACUACUUCUAACCCUGCUCUCACUCGCAGGACUCCCCCCACUAACAGGGUUCCUACCCAAAUGACUCAUCAUCCAAGAACUAACCAAACAAGACAUAGCCCCAACAGCAACAAUCCUCUCCCUUCUAUCCUUACUCGGACUAUUCUUCUACUUACGCCUAGCGUACUGCACGACAAUUACACUCCCUCCACAUACCACAAAUCACAUGAAAUUAUGACACACAAACAAGCCAACCAGCACCCUGAUCGCUAUCCUGGCUACUAUGUCCAUCAUACUUCUUCCCAUCUCCCCAAUGAUCCUUACUAUUAUCUAAGAAACUUAGGAUUACCCAAACCGAAGGCCUUCAAAGCCUUAAACAAGAGUGAGACUCUCUUAGUUUCUGCUAAAGUCCGCAGGACACUACCCUGCAUCCCCUGAAUGCAACUCAGAUACUUUAAUUAAGCUAGGACCUUAUUCUAAUUCCCUAAGCAGAUGGGCUUCGAUCCCAUAACACUAUAGUUAACAGCUAUAUGCCCAAACCAACAGGCUUCUGCCUAAGGCUCCGGUACAUAACUAAUGCACAUCAAUGAGCUUGCAACUCACUAUGAACUUCACUACAGAGCCGAUAAGAAGAGGAAUUAAACCCCUGUAAAAAGGACUACAGCCUAACGCUUAUACACUCAGCCAUCUUACCCGUGACAUUCAUUACCCGAUGAUUAUUCUCAACCAACCACAAAGAUAUUGGAACUCUGUACCUAAUCUUCGGCGCAUGAGCCGGAAUAGUAGGUACCGCCCUAAGCAUACUCAUUCGAGCAGAACUAGGACAACCCGGAGCCCUUCUAGGAGACGACCAAGUAUACAACGUAGUUGUCACAGCCCACGCCUUCGUAAUAAUCUUCUUCAUAGUUAUACCAAUUAUGAUUGGAGGAUUUGGAAACUGACUAGUUCCCUUAAUAAUCGGAGCACCAGACAUAGCAUUCCCACGAAUAAAUAAUAUAAGCUUCUGACUACUACCUCCAUCCUUUCUCCUCUUACUAGCAUCCUCCACAGUAGAGGCAGGAGUAGGUACAGGUUGAACAGUAUACCCACCACUAGCUGGUAACCUGGCCCACGCCGGAGCCUCAGUAGACCUAGCAAUCUUCUCCCUGCACCUAGCCGGCAUCUCAUCCAUCCUGGGUGCAAUCAACUUUAUCACAACAGCAAUCAACAUAAAACCCCCUGCCCUCUCACAAUACCAAACACCUCUAUUCGUCUGAUCUGUACUAAUUACCGCAGUACUCCUGCUCCUGUCACUACCAGUUCUAGCCGCAGGCAUUACAAUACUUCUUACAGAUCGUAACCUCAAUACUACAUUUUUCGACCCUGCAGGUGGAGGAGACCCAGUCCUAUACCAACAUCUAUUCUGAUUCUUCGGACACCCAGAAGUAUACAUCCUGAUCCUGCCAGGAUUUGGGAUCAUCUCGCACGUCGUAACCUACUACGCAGGAAAAAAAGAACCAUUUGGAUACAUAGGAAUAGUAUGAGCGAUACUAUCUAUCGGUUUCUUAGGGUUUAUUGUCUGAGCCCACCACAUGUUCACAGUAGGAAUGGACGUUGAUACCCGAGCAUACUUCACAUCCGCUACAAUAAUCAUUGCCAUUCCAACAGGCAUUAAAGUAUUUAGUUGAUUAGCCACCCUACACGGAGGAACAAUCAAAUGAGACCCACCAAUACUAUGAGCCCUAGGAUUCAUCUUCCUAUUCACCAUCGGAGGACUGACAGGAAUCGUUCUAGCAAACUCCUCACUAGACAUCGCCCUGCACGAUACUUACUACGUAGUAGCCCACUUCCACUAUGUCCUAUCAAUAGGAGCAGUAUUCGCAAUCCUGGCCGGCUUCACACACUGAUUCCCCCUAUUCACUGGGUACACCCUGCACUCAACAUGGGCCAAAACACACUUUGGAGUAAUGUUCGUAGGCGUAAACCUAACCUUCUUCCCCCAACAUUUCCUAGGCCUAGCCGGAAUACCACGACGAUACUCAGACUACCCUGAUGCCUACACAUUAUGAAACACUAUCUCCUCAGUAGGAUCCCUCAUUUCCCUAACAGCCGUAAUCAUGCUAGUAUUUAUCAUCUGAGAAGCCUUUGCAUCCAAACGCAAAGCCACACAACCAGAACUAACAAGCACCAAUGUUGAAUGAAUCCACGGCUGCCCACCCCCAUUCCACACCUUUGAAGAACCAGCCUUCGUCCAAGUCCAAGAAAGGAAGGAGUCGAACCCCCAUAUGUUGGUUUCAAGCCAACCGCAUAGACCACUUAUGCUUCUUUCUCAUUA